rnacentral:lncRNA from 1 species
AUGAGAUGCAUGUGCUCAAAGUUAAGCCUGUACUCAAGUGCUUUGCUGGACCAGGGCCAGGAAGCUCAGCAUUCUACAGAACGAAGCUGCUUUUGGUUUUCAUGGUUAGCCAUGGUAAUACAGGAAAUACAGGACUACCCAAAUAAGAUAUGUCCACAUCUUAUGUGGCUUUGGAAAAAUAUGCCAGCUGUUGAUGAUCCGUGGUCUGUCUGCUUGAAUUCCCCAGGGAACCAACAUCUGGGAAAGGUCUAAAGCCUGGAAGGAUGAAGAGAAAAUCCUGCUGGGAUCCAGCUCUGUUCCUUUUGGGCCAAAAUAAGUGAAAGUCUCAGAAGGCGUUGCUAUACUGUCACCUGGGGUGGUCUUAGGGUCAUUCAUGAUGUAGCACGGCAUGUCAUCCACAGGGCUGCUCAUGACAUUGCUCACAGGCAACAGAAUAUGGAUGCUGGAAGCUGCACAAUGGACACACUCUUCAGUGCAAAGAGCCUUAAGUCUGUGCUGGUGUAACUGAAAGCAAAACAGCCUAAAAUUCACUAUCUAAAUGGGCUCCUCUACGUUGCUAUGAAUAAUCUGUGUGUGUUUUCUCAGUGCUCUUAAUGCAUGGCCUUUUGAAACUGAUUUUAAAAUGUAACUGAAAGACUCUACAAUAAUAUUAUCUCUCAAGAGAACAAAGCCAGGGCAUUAAAGUUAAGCUGCUCAGUUCAUUUUUCUUCUAUAUCUGUUUUGGUCAGCACCUGAUUAGGACCUGAAAAAAAUUCUCUGAUUUUUCUUAUAUGAACAAUAUAACCAAAUCUCCCUCUAUUUCUGUCAAAGAAUUAGGUUAGCUGAAGACAAUGAAAGUUUUGAUUCAUUUAAAGAAAGCAAGAAUGGGUCUAAAUUAAUCCUUUUACUGCAGCAAAAUCUAUUCACACAGUGUAACCUUUUUCUCUCAAUCUCUCUUUUUUUUUUUUUUUUUUUUUUCUCCUAUGGUGCGCAGACAGGUGUAGAGUUAAAACAGAAAUGAGGUGUCAUGUGAGCUGUUGUUAUCCCAAGC